CGGCCGCAUCACGUUGAAACAUCGGUUCCCGUACGAUCAUCGAAGUUAAGCAACGUUGAGCCUGGUCAGUACCUAGAUGGAUGCUACUUGGGAAUAUAAUUUGCUGUA
rnacentral:rRNA from 1 species